rnacentral:tRNA from 1 species
CGGUUUAUGACAAUUGAUUGCAAAUCAAUAGGUCCCCGGUUCGAGUCCGGGCAGGUGCU